UACAGAGACUGCAAGCGUUAUUCGGAUUCACUGGGCGUAAAGGGUGCGCAGGCGGCCAGAUGUGUCAGGUGUGAAAGCCCGGGGCUUAACCCCGGAAUUGCGCCUGAAACUGUCUGGCUAGAGUACUGGAGAGGGUAGCGGAAUUCACGGUGUAGCAGUGAAAUGCGUAGAUAUCGUGAGGAACACCAGAGGCGAAGGCGGCUACCUGGACAGUAACUGACGCUCAGGCACGAAAGCGUGGGGAGCAAAA
rnacentral:rRNA from 1 species